CAGAAGCUGCUGCCUUGGACCUAGGGCUUUGUUCACAAGCCACCCGGGGUUCCGGUUCCGUUCGGAGCUCGGCUGCUACAGCGUUCACGGGCCACUGCCAGCCGGUUGUUCGGGCAACAAGGGCCGGUGGAAGAGGAAAGGGGUCCAGUCGAGUUCCAGGGCAUCUUAUAGACAUCAGACAGUUCUGGGUGAGAUGAGCUGUCAAUCAGCUGAAGAUAGCCCAUUUGGACCCUGGAGCUGAUUGGUCCUGAGCCUAGUACUUCCUGCCCCAUGGCCCCUCCUCACUCUUCUCUGAGUUUCUCUCCACCCUGAUACCCCCAGGAGCAUCUUCUGCUGACCACGCCCAUGCUCUUUCGGGGAUA
rnacentral:lncRNA from 1 species